GCGGAAUCUCUGUGGCGUGACAGCAGCUGCCGAUUCCAUUUAUAAGGACCCCUGUGAUGCCACUGGGCCCAUCCAUGGGAUGAUCUCCCAAUUUUAAGCAAUGCUACAAGGAAAUGCGUUGAUAUUGCUGGACCUUACAAAGAACAAGAAAACCACCCUGAUCCUAACCAAAGAUGGAAUUGUUCACUAAAAGGAAGGAGCAAAUUGGUAUAUUCCUGGUUUCCAAAAUGCCCUUUCAUGCCAGGGAAACAGCGUGAUCUUUGGAGGACUGUUAACAACCAGGACCAUGAGCAAGAAUGACUCUACGGCAACAACUAAGCACCUACUGGAGCUGAAAUCUCACACUAGACCCCGUCCAAUCCCAAUUUUGCUGUUUAUCAUGUGGCAUUGGUUAUGUUGUUACUUAUCCUGCCUUAAUUUCCUUAUCUGAAUACGGGGAUAAUAAAUCCUAACUUCACAUA